UGCUCUCUAAGCUUAGUGGUUUUCCUUCAAGAUGUUUCAUUACCCAAACGAGGUAACAUCAUCAGUGCUAGGAUGGAGUAGGGUUUGUGGGGGGGAGGAGGAGG